rnacentral:lncRNA from 1 species
CUUGAUAUCUGUUAAUUGGGUUACAUUGAGAACUAGAUGCUAUAGUCUGUGCUGUCAGAGUAUUAUGUUGGUUCUCUGCAAUGGCUACACAAACGGCAGCUGUCAUUGAAGUAAAAUUGGCUCCUCAGUACAAUAUAGCCUACAACUGACUGACUUUUUUUUUAACAUUCAAACACAAUCAGUCCAUCAUGUAGCUAUAGUUUUGGAGGCCCCUCUUUGCACGAUUUAUGUCUUAUUCUACCAGUAUCUUCCCCACUCAGUCUCCCUGUGUGUCUUGAUGGGCAACUAUAGUUCAGUCCUCAUUCCUGGUAAGUGUCACAGCUGUAACCUUUCAACUGAAACAAGCUGGGGAACCUACACUGAAAUGUCACUCUUAUUUUCAAAGAUGCAGAAGAAUUUGAGUCCAUUGUGUCUCUAGUGACAGACAAGGCGAAUGAGCCCAGCAGUUUAUUGUCCAAGCUGGAGUCUAUGGGAAGUAUUCUGUGCAAAGUAAUAUAAAAACAUGAUUGCCAUAACUCCACAUAGUCAGCAGCAGCCCUUCUGUCAUUUUUCACUUGGUUGUGCCGUGUAACAAGUGUGCAGUAACAAAAUGUGCCCUUGGGAUAAUUUUAACUGCUCAGGCUGGCUCAGUCGACCACAGCUCUAUCAUGUAACACAAGAUAACAUGGUUCUUGCACCUUAAAGGGGUGAUGGGGCCCUAAGAUUCAGUAUCAUCAAUCAUUAACGUUUGUAUAAGAUUAUGACUUGCAACAACUUUAUGCUCUGGGCCCUGGCUAAAAACAUUACUCUUCUCACCCUCCAUCAUCUGGUUCUUGCUUUGGCUUUCCACAUAGUUGUAGAAUAUUUGACGCUGAUAUAAAAUCAGCUAUCAGAAUUCUUGAACCCAUGACCUAUAGGUGAAUAUGGAGUCGCAAAGAGAGGAAAAAAACAAUGAAGAUGAAGCUUCAAGUAAGGAAACAUCUGGAGCCUCUUUAUCAGCAGCAUCAAGUGAAGAGCCCUGUGACUCCAGUUCAGGCGCCCUCUCCACUCUGCUUCCAAAAGCCCUGUCCGCAGUCCUUCAUCACAAAAUGACCCCUGGGCACAACACUGACCAUCCCACCAGCAAAUACUCUGCAACACACAACCCCCCUCCAACUUGGAACAGCUGCAGUCAGAGCUCACAUCCUGAGAGGGCAGUUCGAACAGAUGAAGGCUCAACACAAUAA